CCUAAGCAUCCGAACGGGGCCGUGUGAGGCCAUGACAUCUUAGCAUCUCGCGAGGCCAUGGCCUAGGCAUCUCGCGAGGCCACUCGGGUGGCGCGGCCGUGACCAUCUCGCGAGGCCACUUGGAAGGCGCGGCCGAGGCCUUCUCGCGAGGCCACUUGGUGGCAUGGGCUGGCGAGGCCGAGCAAGGCCAUGUCGCCUCGCGCCUUAGCAUCCGUAUCUUGUAAACCGCGUGUUUUCCCUUGAUGAGUUUUUGAGCAUCAACACUUGCCCCCUAGUCUAGGAGAGGACCUUUAGGUGCUAUUGUAGACUAUUCAUCUUGGUUCUUAUAAAUAGGCCUUCAUGCAUGGCUUAAUAUUUACACCUUACUUCCUUGGCUUAGUGGUAGUUAGACCCUUGCUCCUUUCAAGAGGUAAAGGGUUCAAUCCCCCACAACCACACUUUUUCCAUAGUUUCGUCACUUUUUCAUUUUUUCAUUUUUUUUUUUACAUAUGAGCUAAUUUCUUGGUGUGUAUAUUUUAUGACUAACACACGUCUCUGGUUAAUUCUUGCAGACGCGCAUUUUCGACGCUUUGGUGCUUUUCGCUUCCCGACCUUCUUUGGACCCCGACCUCGUUCUUUUAAUCGCUUGAGGUAUAUUUUCUUUCCUCCUCCUUUUUAAUUAUUUAUUAUUAUUAUUUUUUUUAUCGGGUCCAAACUAGCAGUACUCGGGAUGGGGUACAUUAGUCCGAGCUUGUAGUGAGUUUGACCAUAUGCACGCCCCUCCUCCUUUUUUUAUAUAUACCCUGUAGUAGUCCAUUUAGGGCGUUUGCAUCUAGAGGUAUUAAGCCUAUUCCUUUGUGUUUUGUAGCCUUCCCCUCAUUUAUACGUGAGCCCCUUUUUGCUGUUGGGACGUGGUUUCAUGGCCAGUGACGGCCCGUCUGACAUACCCCCAAGGGUUGAGUUUAUUGACCUGUCCUCAGACUCAGAGUCCCCUGAGGGCAACCCUUACCAGGACUAUGAUUCUUUGAGGCAAGCCUGCAUCCGCCACCUCAGAGUGCAUGGCUGAUCUUAGGCGUAAAAUUUGGGUGGUAGAGAGCGAAAUUGACUCGGUGUCAAGGGGAGAUGGAGGACCUUCACCCCUGGGCCUUAGUGACCAUAUAGCGCGUCUUAGGACGACCCUUUUCGAAUUGCGAUGGGAGUUAGAAUUUAUGGAGGGACACAUUCCGCCAGAACCUCCCACUCCUUCCUCGUCUAAUGAUAGUCAUGGGGCCGCUAGCUCCUAUCCCCAGCCCCUAGUUUCAGUUUAUCCUAGCUUAGCGCUUCCGCCAUCGCUCCCUCGAUGGAAAACUCUUGCUAGGAAGAAAAAAUGGAGGGUUAAGUGUUCUGCCUCUUCCUCACAUAUUUCUUUUGAUUUUGCAGAUAUGCCGAGAGCACGCAGACAGGUGUCUGUCCAGGAAGAGGACGACGCCCCUCUACUGGCAUCCAGCCUAGUGUCCCAUGUAUCUUUGAACAAAUUGAAGGGGAUAGUGAAGCACUAUCGCAUUGCUCCGGAAUACGCCCUAUACGCUCCUAAGGAGACCUGUCGGGCUGACUGCCCUGAGAUGGGUUUUGUAGCUUUGAGCGAGCAAAUUUUGAAGGCGGGUGGCACCAUUCCUUUGCACCCGUUCUUUGUGGCAGUUCUUAACUACUUCGACUUGGCCCCUCUUCAACUGUCACCCAACAGUUGGUUGACUUUAAGUUGUCUUUUCAUUUGGUUCAAGCAGAAUGUCGAGCGUGCCCCGACGGCGCAAGAGGUGCAUACCCUGUACAACCUCAUGGCGGUGCACAAGUCCAAGGGCUUCUUCUACCUGCAGAAGGCCAACAACGAUCUCCCCUUGAUAGAGGGCUCGGUGUCCAACCCAGGGCUUUGGAAGCAAGACUUUUUCUGGGUAAAGGGCCCUCUCUCAGUUCGUGAGGACUUUCGCUCCGGCCCUAGUAAGUACCUUGGUCCUUCUUUUUUUUUUCUUAUUAGAACUUACUGUUUCGUACCUUUGCUUGUGCUGACAUUGGCGUGGAUCAUGCAGAGCAAUUCGCUGAUCCUUCGGUCAUUGGGACAGAGGCGACGGCUAUAAACAACCUUAUAGAUGCAGAUGUCGCCCUGAAGAAGGCGACGGUCCUAUUUACUGUGACGAACCUUACCCUCCACCAGCUAUCCCCGGUUUUUGACCCCAAGUUCCUGUGGUCAAUUACUGUGUCUAAGAAGGCUACGGCUACGCCGGUUGAGCCGUCCCUACACGAUGGUGAGGCCGAGGAGGAGAUGGAGGAUGCCCCCCCGUUCCCCGGGGGAUGCCCUCCCUAUGGCCCACAUGACCAGGGCAUGGCUUUUCCAUCUCUGGACCCGUAGGCCGCAGCGGGAUGUUACGCCCCUCCUGGCCUUGAUGGCAUGAACGUCUUCCCUCAGGUCCCUCAUGAUAUUGGCAUACCAGACGCUGACUAUGUCGACCUCGCGGAGCCCCCUUCUAAUGCACCAGGGUCCCAGUUUUUUCCCUUCUCUGCGCCUCCUCCUGCUUCGGCGAGUGGGUCAUCCGUUCCUGUCCAACCAGAUGUUCCUAGCGUGGAGGCAGAGCCUUGGGUGACUAGGAUGGCCUCAGUUUAUGGGCAGCGUUUCGUUCCAAUAGCCGCGAGUCUCCCUGUCUCCGACUGGAGGGGCCUAGGGAAUGUGACUCAACCAGACCUCGGGGAGAUGCUAAGGCGCGUCGCAGCCUGGGUCUACAUCGUGUCUCUUCGGCAUGCUGACUCGUCCGGUGUCCUCUCCGCAUCUACCACUGAGAGGGACGGCCUCAUAGUCCAGGUCCAGGGGCUCGAAAAUGAGCUUAGCGCAACCAAGGUCCAAUUGUCAAAGGCCCGGACUAAGUAUGCCAAGUUGGACUCGAAGAAUGAGAAGCUGAAGGCCAAGAUCAAGGAGCUGAAGGGCAAGGCUAAAUGCUUGGAGCGCGAGCUCCGGGGGGCCAAGGCCGCUGCGUUCGGGUCGCAGGAGAGGGUUACCCAACUGGAAACUAAAGUUGAGGCCCUUAGUGCUGAACUACAGUCGGCUCAAGAGAGGAACGCUUCCUUGGAGGCGGAGAAGGCUUCUUUGGAGGCGGAGAAGGCUUCUUUGGAGGCGGAGAGGGUCAUAACCGAGCGCAAGUCUAUAGAUCGUGCUCUUUACAAUGUGUGGAGGCAGGAUCCCAACUUCGACUUCUCCUCUUUUGGCGAACAGGCCGUUGCCCGAGCGGCCUGGUGGAGUACCCACUACAAGAGACCUUGAAAUAGUCUAGCUCCCUUUUUUUUAAUUUUAUUUUGUAACCUCAUUAUCAGUGCUACUUUUCUAUUGGUAGCUCUUGUACUAUCCCGAGAACUCCUUUUUUUUUAAUGUAUAAAUACAUAUGUUGCUGUUUAUUUCUUGUUCUAUUGCAUUUGAGGCCCUUUUAAGCCUGUAUGAUGGGGUUUGGUUGGUUCCCCUCUUUUAUCUAUCAGACUGGAGGUCCUUUGGAACCCAUGUGAGAGGGUUCACUGGGACCUCUUUUGGUGCCUCUUGGUGGCUUUUAUAAGGAUAUUUUGACCCCUUGGGUCUUAGCUAUCCUUUUAUGUUUUUCUUGCGCGCGCU